rnacentral:misc_RNA from 1 species
GAUGAAGAACGUAGCGAAACGCGAUAAGUAAUGUGAAUUGCAGAAUCCAGUGAAUCAUCGAAUCUUUGAACGCACAUUGCGCCCGCCAGCAUUCUGGCGGGCAUGCCUGUUCGAGCGUCAUUUCAACCCUCGACCUCCCCUUGGGGAGGUCGGCGUCGGGGACCGGCAGCACACCGCCGGCCCUGAAAUGGAGUGGCGGCCCGUCCGCGGCGACCUCUGCGCAGUAAUACAGCUCGCACCGGGACCCCGACGCGGCCACGCCGUAAAACACCCAACUUCUGAACGUUGACCUCGAAUCAGGUAGGACUACCCGCUGAACUUAAGCAUAUCAAUAAGCGGAGGA